UCUGAUACGUCCCCCAUCGGGGGACUACAUAUUAAAUGGAUUUUUCGAACAGGGAGUCGGAAAUGGGGCUUGCUCCGUCCGCUCCACGCAUCGACCCGGUAUUGCAGUACCUCCGGGAAUGGUGCAACACUU
rnacentral:snRNA from 8 species